CCUACGGGUGACUGCAGUGAGGAAUCUUGGUCAAUGGACGAGAGUCUGAACCAGCCAAGUAGCGUGAAGGAUGACUGUCCUAUGGGUUGUAAACUUUUUUUAUAUGGGAGUAAAAUGUUCCACGUGUGGGAUUUUGUAUGUACCAUAUGAAUAAGGAUCGGCUAACUCCGUGCCAGCAGCCGCGGUACUACGGAGGAUCCGAGCGUUAUCCGGAUUUAUUGGGUUUAAAGGGAACGUAGGUGGAUUGUUAAGUCAGUUGUGAAAGUUUGCGGCUCAACCGUAAAAUUGCAGUUGAAACUGGCAGACUUGAGUACAGAAGAGGUGAGCGGAACUCGUGGUGUAGCGGUGAAAUGCUUAGAUAUCACGAAGAACUCCGAUGGCGAAGGCAGUUCACUGGACUGCAACUGACACUGAGGCUCGAAAGUGUGGGUAUCAAACAGGAUUAGAUACCCGGGUAGUC
rnacentral:rRNA from 1 species